AUGCCCCACCGUAAAACAUUAACUCACACCAACUACGCCCGGGUACUACGAGCCCAGCUUAAAACCCAAAGGACUUGACGGUGUCCCACCCAACUAGAGGAGCCUGUUCUAUAAUCGAUAAUCCCCGAUUUACCCAACCCCAUUUUGCCACUCAGCCUGUAUACCUCCGUCGUAAGCUUACCACAUGAAUGCACACAGUAAGUCCAACGAUCUUAACAUCAAUACGUCAGGUCAAGGUGCAGCUCAUGAUAGGGAAAGCAAUGGGCUACAAUUUCUAAGAUAGAACAUACGAAAUGCUCUAUGAAACACAGCAUGAAGGCGGAUUUAGCAGUAAAAAGGAAAUAAUGCGUCCUUCUUAACAAGGCCCUGGGACGUGUACACACCGCCCGUCACCCUCUUCAAUAGUAUACAACACGUCUAUAACAACUUUUCACGCCUUAGAAGAGGCAAGUCGUAACAUGGUAAGUGUACCGGAAGGUGCGCUUGGAUUUUA
rnacentral:rRNA from 1 species